AUUGAACGCUGGCGGCAUGCCUAACACAUGCAAGUCGAACGAACCUUCGGGUUAGUGGCGGACGGGUGAGUAACGCGUGAGAAUCUGCCCUCAGGAGGGGGAUAACGGCUGGAAACGGCCGCUAAUACCCCAUAUGCCGAGAGGUGAAAUGAAUUUCGCCUGAGGAUGAGCUCGCGUCUGAUUAGCUUGUUGGUGGGGUAAUGGCCUACCAAGGCGACGAUCAGUAGCUGGUCUGAGAGGAUGAUCAGCCACACUGGGACUGAGACACGGCCCAGACUCCUACGGGAGGCAGCAGUGGGGAAUUUUCCGCAAUGGGCGAAAGCCUGACGGAGCAACGCCGCGUGAGGGAUGAAGGCCUCUGGGCUGUAAACCUCUUUUAUCAAGGAAGAAGAUCUGACGGUACUUGAUGAAUAAGCCACGGCUAAUUCCGUG
rnacentral:rRNA from 1 species